UAUAGAAGCGGAACCCUUGUAGGUUAGGGUGGGCAGACCAUCAGAAGAUAAGGGAGGCGAUCUCAGGGAGCGAAGGAAUAAAGCAGAUCAAAGGGCUAAGUUGAUCGAAACAAUUCAAAAGAAGAAAUGGAUAAGAGAUGCUAUGGGCCAUGUUGGUAGAUCCAUAGGAGUUUCUUUCGGCGAUCACCCAGAAGAUUAUUUAGUUUUGUUCCAUUGCAUCGAGGAACGCGGCCGACCGUUGCAACGGACAAGAACUCCUAGGAAACCACCCUUAAGGUCCAAAAGCAACAAGAAACUUCAAAGUCUCAUACUUAGCCCCUCUUCUAUCACUCGGAUCAAUUGUACAGGCGAGACUCAUGUCCUACGGGGGAGCUUAGUUCCUAAAUAAAAGUCUUAACCUGGAAUAUCAGAGGUGCGGGAUCAAAGCAGAAGAGAUGAUUGAUUAAGGAUAUCUGUGGUAGAAGUAAAGCAGAGGUGAUAUGUCUUUAGGAAACCAAGGUGCAAAACUUCAACGAGAAGCUGAUGGGCACUCUUUGGAGUGUAAAAGAUGUUAGGUGGGUCGCUCCAGAUGCCAUGGGUCUAUCAGGUGGUAUUCUAGUGGCGUGGAAGUCCUCUUUCUGGUCUCUAGUAGAUAGCUGGAGUGGCGCUUUCUCAGUUUCGGUUAUCCUGAAAGAGAUCUCAACUGAUUUCUCGUCUUAUUACUUCAAUUCAUGGCCCCAAUCAGGAAGCCAGCAUAUUCGAGUUUUGGGAGGAACUGGAUAUUUCCAGACAGAGAUUUAGUGGGCUAUGGUGUAUAGGUGGAGAUUACAACAUCAUGCGUCAUGCAUACGAAAGGUCCCAAGGAGGCAGGGCUACUGCUGGUAUGUGUCGUUUCUCGCCAUGGAUCGAAGACCAGGAACCGGUUGACCUUCCCCUGCUUGGUGCGAGAUUCACCUAGUCUAAUGGGAGGGAAAAUCCAAUCAUGUGGAGGUUGGACAAAUUUCUGGUAUCGUCUGACUGGUUGGAAAUGUUUCCGCUUGUCUCGCAAUCCACCCUUCCGAAUCCUGCGUCGGAUCAUAGCCCCCUCAUUCUUGCAGUUGACAACCAGAACUAGGGUCCUAAACCAUUCAGGUUCGAAAUAUCUUGGCUGAAGAUAGAAGGAUUUCAUCAGAAGAUAAUAGACUGGUGGGUAGGCUUCAGAGUGGAAGGCUAUGCUGGAUUCAAGCUUUGCAACAAAUUGAGACUUUUGAAAGAAAAGCUCAAGAGAUGGAAAAUGCAAGAGCUUCGCAAAAGAGAAGAGGAAACUAAUUCCAAUCUAGAUUAGAGAAGGAGAUAAAAAUACUAAAAUUUUCCAUUGUGUAACAAGUGCGCGUGCCAGAGUCAACAAAAUCAGCAGCAUAGUGGUUGAUGGGGUUCGAUUAGAAGAUAAGGACAGAAUUUCGGAAGAGGUUGUUCGAUAUUUCAACAAUUUGCUUAGGGAGAAGACUGGGAGAGACCAAAGCUGGAUCAUCUUCACAUAGAGAAGUUGUCCAAAGAAGAUGCAUGUGCAAUUGAAUCCCCUUUCACGCUUAUCGAGGUGAAAGGGGCGGUGGAUGCUUUGGGAGGGGGCAAGGCCCCUGGGCCAGAUGGUUUCCCAAUUCUCUUUUUCCAAAACAUUCUGGGAUAUGUUAAAAGGGGAUAUUAUGGUUUUUGUAAACAAAUUCCACGAUAGAGGGCGACUCUCAAAAUAUCUUGGGGCAUCUUUUGUUGCGCUCAUCCCAAAGAUCCUGGGUGUGAACUCUUUGAAGGAUUUUCGGCCGAUCAGUUUACUUGGAGGUCCAUAUAAAAUUCUGGCCAAGGUUUGGCAUCUACGUUUAAAAGGGGUGAUCGGUGCUGUCAUUUCUGAAAAUCAAAGUGCUUUUAUUCCCGGACGACAAAUAGUGGACAAUGCCCUUAUUGCUCUUGAAUGCUUGGAUUCCAGUCACAGAUCCAAUUCUAAGGGUAUUCUAUGUAAGCUGGACAUUGAAAAGGCAUACGAUCACGUAGGCUGGGGUUUUCUUCAGUAUAUGCUUUUUCAGAUGGGUUUUUGAGAUAGAUGGAUAGGGGAAUGUGUGGGAUCGGUGUUCUUUUCUCUUCUAAUUAAUGGAUCCUCAAAAGGUUUUUUCAAAAGCUCUACGGGAUUGCGUCAAGGUGACCCCCUAUCCCCUUUCCUCUUCCUACUAGUAGGGGAGGCUUUUUCUAGAAUGCUGAGUAAGGGUCAGGCAGAAGGCAUUUUUAGUGGGCUGAGAGUGGAAGGGAUGGCUAGCCCGAUAUCUCACAUUCAGUUUGUGGAUGACACCCUUUUGUUCUGUGAAGCAGAUCAGGCCAAAGUGAGUAACCCGCGGACUAUCAUUAGGUGCUUUGAAGCAGUUUUGGGUUUAGAGAGUUAACAUGGCCAAGUCAAAGUUGUUUGGGGUAAACAUGGAGGAAGAAGAGAUAAAUAAUUAUGUAGAUUUCUUUCGGUGCUCGGCAGGCCGCCUACCAACCACCUUUGUGGGUCUCCCUUUGUGCAUAGGAAAGCCCCCAAAGUUCCUAUGGGAUAAGGUUAUCAACAGAUUUGGGGCAUAUCUUGCUAGAUGAAAAUGUAGAUACCUAUCUUUGGGCGGCCGGUUAUCCCUUAUCAAGGCAGCAUUGUCGAAUCUUCCUCUCAAUUUCAUGUCUCUUUUCAAAUGUCCGACGUCAAUCCUGGCAAAUCUAUAAAGACUUAGAUGGGAUUUCCUGUGGCAUGGGAAGGAAGACAAGAGAAAAUUUCAUCUGGUUAGUUGGAAGGAUGUUUGUAAGCAAAAGAACAAGGAGGGGCAGGUAUAAAAGACCUCAAAACCAUGAAUCGGGCUCUCUUAGGCAAAUGGAUGUGGAGACUUGGGACCGAAAGCGGCUCUCUUUGGAAUAAUCUAGUAAAAAACAAGUAUGGCUAUUCAGAGGGGGGCUGUGGACAAAGGACUCUUCUAAUUGCAAAGCUUCGGCUCUUUGGAAAGGAAUUCUAUCUAUUAAAAAGGAGGUUCUUAAAGGUACUCGCAUUGCAAUUGGGAAUGGAAAACGCACCCGGUUCUGGGACGACAUCUGGGUGGGAGAUGAAGCCCUUAGAGUUGCAUUUCCACAUAUCUAUAGCCUUGCCCCUGAUGCUGAUAAGGCCAUCUUAGUGGACAUUUGCUACUCAGUUAUUGGGGGAGUAGUGGUGUGGAACCCGGGGUGUGGAAGAAAUCUUCGAGAUAGGGUGAUCGAAGAAUACGUAGUGCUUCUAAAUCACAUCCAAAGCAGUAAACUGGAUCAACGUAGCGCUGAUAGGCUCUUUUGGCAUCCUGACAAAUCAGGACAAUUCUCGGUUAAGUCCCUUUACAGUUCCCUUUCCAGCUAUCCCCCAUCAGUGGAAGAGGCAUUGUCUCCCCAUGUUUGGAAAUUUCACAUUCCCCCCAAGAUAGCGGCUUUUGGCUGGUUGGUGGGCAAGAACAAGGUCCUCAUAGUGGAUAACUUGAGAAAAAGGGGAAUGUGCAUCACAAAUAUCUGUUUGUGCUGUAUGGCAGAUGAAGAAACGGUGGAUCAUCUUUUUAUUCACUGUACAUUUACAAAUAAGAUCUGGACUCAUAUCCUAUCUCGCUUUCAGAUGUCCUGGACUUUUCCAGAUUCAGGCCGCAAUCUUCUACAGGCCUGGUACUGCUCGAGGUGUGGAAAGCAAAGAUCCAAGCUUUGGAGAAUGUCUCUCCUGGCAGUUUGGUGGGCCGUGUGGGAAGAAAGGAACAGAAUAUGUUUUAAUGGCACUUCUAACACAGUCGAGUGUAUCGUGCAAAGGGUGAUUCAUUUCAUAGCAGAAUGGGCUUCUUCCGUUGAAAAGCUAAAGGAUUGUAAUUUGUCUUUUUUGGGUUCUUAGUUGGUCUGCUACCUCAGCGGAUUAGCUUCCCCUUUUUGUUUUUGUUUUCCCUUUCUUUUCUAAUAAAGUUACUGUUACCUCAAACAAAAAAAUAA